ACCUUUUUAGUAUAUAAAAUAUAUUUGACUUCCAAUCAAAAGAACUCUUACAAGAAAAGGUA
rnacentral:tRNA from 1 species